rnacentral:rRNA from 1 species
GUCCAGACUCCUACGGGAGGCAGCAGUGGGGAAUAUUGCACAAUGGGGGAAACCCUGAUGCAGCAACGCCGCGUGGGUGAAGGAGCGUUUCGGCGCGUAAAGCCCUGUCAGCGGGGAAGAAGAAAGACGGUACCCGACCAAGAAGCCCCGACUAACUACGUGCCAGCAGCCGCGGUAAUACGUAGGGGGCGAGCGUUAUCCGGAAUUACUGGGCGUAAAGGGAGCGUAGACGGCGAGGUAAGCCUGAAGUGGAAGCCCGCGGCCCAACCGCGGAACUGCUUUGGGAACUGUUUUGCUGGAGUAUGGGAGGGGUAAGCGGAAUUCCUGGUGUAGCGGUGAAAUGCGUAGAUAUCAGGAGGAACACCGGCGGCGAAGGCGGCCUGCUGGACCGUGACUGACGUUGAGGCUCGAGAGCGUGGGGAGCAAACAGGAUUAGAUCCCCGAGUA